UUUCAGGGUUGAUUUUGCGCUCGUCACAUGGGCAAAACGGGCCAGCGGGCAGCCUACUUUUAAUGAAACCUCAUCCAAGGGCAUGAUGAAAUGUCCGGAGUGAAACGUCAUCAAAAAAGGUGCCUGUGACAUCCAGUAUUGUUGGGUGCAAAUGAUGGGAAUUCCAUGUUUGAGCAGACAUAUUGUACGCCUGAUGCAAUUUCCAAUGGAAUAUGCUGGUGAGUAGGCUGGUGGAAUGAACAACUUUAUUCCACGGAAAAGCUCAGCAGGUCUGGCAGCAUCGGCGGAGAAGAAAAGAGUUGACGUUUCGAGUCCUCAUGACCAUUCGACAGUUUUUCCAGAAAACAGUGGAAAUACUCAGCCAGCCAGGCAGCAGCUAUGGAGAGAGAAACAUUUCAGGACAAUGACCUGUCGUUACAACUGGAAAACAUUUCUUUUCUGCAGCAAACAUUUAUUUGUGAAGACAAUGUCCCUUUAAAAUCCUAGCAUGAUUCUCUACUACUACUUCUUUAUAUUUCUUUUUGUCUCCUUUUUUGGUUGUACAAAUAUGGAGAACAGUUGUGCUUUGUAAAAUAGAGGAUUAUUAUUCUUUGAACAGUUUGUUGAACAGAGUGGAAGCAUUGUUUUAAUGAGUUUUGUUGAAACGGGAUGGGUGGGUAUGAGUUAUUUUGCUUUGUUUAUAAACAGAUGUAAGGGCCAAAGAUUAACUUUAAGCAAUAGGAAUUUCUCAUUGCAGCCAACAAUUCACCAGAGUUUAAAUGAAAUUAGAAAAUGCUGUCAGACCUGCCCAGUUUUUCCAGCAUUUUCUGUUUUUAUUUCAGAUUUC